AUGAAGAUCCUCCUGCCCCCCGGGCCCCCAGGGCAGAGAAAGGGGGUUCGCCACCUGCAAGGCCCCAUCUCACCUGACAGGUCAGCGCCCUCAGGUGGGCCAGGAUCUUUCUGCUGUCCAUGCCUCGCUGCAGGAGGUAGGUGCUGCAUACCUGCGGGGGACAGGCCUCGUGUGCAGGCGCUCUGCGACGCCACAGCCGGGCACGGGCCCCCAGGGCCCCCCGUGGCCCCCCGGGACCCUAGGUCACCCCCUGUGACCCCUGUCACCUGCACAUGGAGGGGCACCAGCCCGCCAUGUGGGAGCAUCUACGGUAACGGGGGUGACCUGUCCCCUGCCCUUGAGCAUCUGUGUCCCAUGCAUCUGUGUCCUACCCCCCAGCCUCAGGAGCACCAUCGCCAGGAAGGACGGGGCCCCGGCUCCCAGCAUCUGUGGGGCGGUGGGCACAGCACCCCCCGAGCCCCUCAUUCUCAGAAGCCUCCCAGCAGGCUCCGUGCCGAUCUGCAGUGGAGGGAAGGUCCUUCCCUGGGGUCUGUCCACCCGUCUGUCCACCUGUCCGCAGCCACUGAGCAAAGUGCUUCAGCAUCGAGGCUGACGUCUGCUGCCUUCAUCUGCCAGGGGAGUGGCCCGGGGCAGCCGGGGGCACAGGGGGCCGCACAGGGGUCCCCUGCAGAAGGUGGCCCCCUGCGGCCUCUUCAUCUCAGGAACAAUCUCGGGACCCCCUGGGCUGGUGCAGCUCUUGCUGGCAGAUGGGGGCUCUCCUGGGAGGGGCAGGACCCGGCCCACGAACCCCUGCCCAGCCUGCAGAGACCACAGCGAGAAGGGGAGGCCCAGAGGACCCGAAGGAGGCGGGGGGGUUGGGCUGUUGGGGAGAACACCCCGUCCCCACGCCGGCCAGGCGAACUCCCCGGAGACAACCGGGUGUCAGACGCUGUCAGCCACCUGUCCGCAAACGAACCCACGGCCCUCCCCACGCAAUGCCCACGUGUCCUGGAGUCAGGCACCUGUGCACCCCGUCGGCCACCGCCCGGACCCCGGACCGGGAGCUGGGGUCCUGCCUGCGGCGCGUUACCUUGA
rnacentral:lncRNA from 1 species